AAUUGGUGAAGGUACAUGCCCGUACAAUGGACGAACGCCCUUACCUUAUUCUGAAUAAGUUUGGGCAGCCAGUAGGGCCUGAUGAUGAAACUGUUGAAGAAUUUACUCGAUUUUUGGGAACUGUGGCUAAAAAUUCUGAGUUAGCCCCUCUUAAUUUUAUUAAUUGGCCAAGUCUUCCCACACAUGAUAACAUAUGGGAAUAUGUCCAGGAGAAAUACUUGGUACCUGAAGAAGGAAGAAAGUGGGUAAUGGAAACUGUUAACUAUGCCUGGCGUAUCCAUAAAUGUAGACUGAAACAGAAAUAUUACUAUGCAUUUGAUACAGACGAAGACUGGAAAACUGUCCGAAAACCAUUCCAAAAACACAUUUCGAAGAUCUCUUGAACUACUGGAAUUUAACGACGACUAAGGAAGAAAGUGAGACCAACAAAAGGAAUCGUCAAAUGCUCCAGGAUAUGCACACAAUGGGUCCCAAAUCAUAUGUCUUGUUACGUCAUAAAUUG